GAGCGAGGAAACAGGGCCAGAGAAUUGGAACAAAAUACAAGGCUGCCUCUGAAAGGAAUAUCUUUGUGCUGAUGUGUCCAUCAAGAGAACAUACACAGAAGUGACACUUGCCAGUAAUUUGCAAGCAGAUGGAACUUCAAUAUGGCAAUAGAGAAAGAAUCAAUUAGACCAGAGUCUCCUCAGGAAGACUUUCUAUAGGUUAAACAAGUGUUUGUGGUUGCUGUGGAGCAUGUGAGAAUGAUGGAAGGAGUUCGGCAGUCACCACUGAUGAUUGAGCACACCCUGCAUGCAUGGUCCUGUGCAGGAUGAAGCUGUCCCUGGUCAGGGAGCUGCAGAACCACAGCUCCUGCAGAAUGGGUGAAAGCUGAGCUCAUCAUAUGGAACUGUCCAAGGUGGACGGUCCCCUGGAGAGCCCGCUGUGUUGGAAGAUGUAGAAUAUUCAUAUAUCUGGUGAGCAUCUGCUAGAUGCCAGGGUUGGGGAGAGUCAAGUUGAAGCAAGCAUGAACCCUCAAGGACCUACCAUUUCAAGGCAAGAAAUAGAUACAAAUACAGCGUAAUUAUCUCUCCAAUUAAAGAGCAACCAAGGGACAACUGAACUGGAGGUUCUGCAGAAUUACAACUAAGCACGCAGCCGAGGAAUCUACUCAGCUUUGAUCUCUUAUCGCUCUGCACACACAGCCCUUUCUCUGUAAGGCUAGCUGCUCUCAGCAUCACUGUGUCUAAUCAAACGUGUCACACCUCCACUGAGAAAAUAUUUACUGGAUAGCUACUAGACAUAAGGAUGCAGAAAUGAAUUAGAAAAAUUCCUCGCCCUUGUUCAAAGCUAUGCUGGCUCUUAGAACAUCUGAGCCCCCACUGUUUCAUCUUUAGAGGAUCCCAGCUGCUGGGGUGUGAGGCCAGUGCUGGAGCCAGCAGUCUCUGACCCAGAAGGGACCUGAGGUGCUAAAGAAAAUUCUGGAGGCUGAGAAGUCCAAAACCAAGUCACCAGCAGAUUCAGCGUCUGGUAAUGGUCCACUUCUUGGUUCACAGAUGGCUAUCUUUUCACUGUGUCCUCACAUGGUGGAAGGGCCAAGGGAGCUCUAUGGGGUCUCUUCUAUAACAGCAUUAACCCCGUUCGUGAGGGCUCCAUCCUCAUGACCUGAUCACAUACCAAAGUUGUUUUCACUUCCCAAAGACCCCACCUCCAAAUACUAUCACAAUUGGGGUUAGAUUUCAACCUAUGAAUUUGUGGGGGGCACACAAUCUUUAGUCAGGGUUUGUGGGAACAAUAUGACCUUGGUCAGGUCCCUUUAUCUUUGCACCUUAUUUUCUCUUUGCCCAAAUAAAGAAUACUUGAUAUUCCA
rnacentral:lncRNA from 1 species